UCGACUUUAACUAAUUUAUCUUCCCGCGCAAAGUAGUCGCAGGAUCGUAUGAGCCCCGUCCCGUGGAGGCGGUAACUGGGAAAAAUCCCCGAAGUUUCAUUCCUGCGAUUCGAACUUGGGACAAAUCCCAUGAAAAUGUCCCGUGGAGACAAGGCCUAAUUGUCAAUUGAGUGCAAAUAUUAUUUUAAUCCCGGUUGAAUACUCAACUUUAACUAGAUUAUCUUCCUGCGCAAACCAGUCGCAGGACCGUAUGAGCCUUGUCUCGUGGAGAUGGUAACUGGGAAAAAUCCCAGAAGUUUCAUUCCUGCGAUUCGAACUUGGGACAAAUUCCGUGAAAACGCCUGUGGAGACAAGGCCUUCGUAACUAAUUUUAAGGAUUUUCCUUCUUGGUUUGAAGUAACUGAAUAUGUAAGUAUCUCAGACUAAUAAUGCUUUGUAUGCUGUAGGAGAGCGUUAGAAGUUUUAAAAUUAUGCAGAACGCAGCAACUGUCAAGUGGAGGACAAUUUGUCCCCCUAUAGAAUCAAUUCAGAAUCCUGAAUACAAUGAGCCUCUCCUAGAUGCCGAAGAACCGCAGCAGGUUAUGGGAGAUUUUAUCAAAGAUGGGAGAUAUGCAUGGCAAAGUAUUGGACCGUAUUUACGGGUCAUUAGCUCAGAUGACGGCGUUGUUCGAAAUCCUUUACUUUUGGAGAUGCCAUACAUGAUGACAGUGCUCAGGUAA
rnacentral:lncRNA from 1 species